CCUUUCUCUUCAGCUGCCUAAGCACUGUUCAACUCCCGCUGCCCAGCUUUGAGAGGCCCGAGGUCACAGAGUGGCCCCGGGUCAGCGUUCGCACUGCUGAGCAGUGCUGACAGAACCUGAGCAGAGCAUUCAACUUCCUCUCCACCUGCAGCCAGGGCUCUGCCCCCAUCCCGAUGUAGAGCGGUCAAGCCUGAACUGAACUUCAGGAUUUCUCCUGGACAACUGGUUUCCACAUUCCAGAAUGUGCUAUCAGGCUCUGGGAGAGAAAGGUCGCUAGCAGGCUUGCUCAGCUGCGAAGGCUGCACUCUGUAGCACCACCCUGCCAGAUCGAUGCCUGAGAAUACUCCUCCAUUUGACUUUCCAAGGAAAGCACUGUCAUGGCCAGAAACUCGUCCCACUCCACCAAGGUGGCAUCACAGUAAGGUCUGACUUCUGCGUCUCAAGUACCUGUCGGAGUAGUCGCUGAGCUCAUAGGUGAGACUCAGGGCUGGGUCAAGGUCCCUGUUUGAGUUUUGAUGCCUUGUGAUUCUCUGGCCAGCACUUCCCUUAGGGGAAGGCUGUGUGGCUGAACCAGAGUGGCUGUCUGCCUUUGUCCUCCACUCCCCUACAGUGCAUGCGUGAACAGCCACAGCCUGUCUGUGACUGCAGUGGAUAAUCUUUCUAGUCCAGAACAUUCUGCAAAUAACUGUGGAAGGCCCGUGUGGAAAAUACUAUGCUAGUAUGGCAAAGAAUUUAGAGCCUCGGACAAACCUUGGAUGAGGCAGAAGGAGGUAAUUUGGGAGAACGGAGAAAAGGCAACACUGUAUGGGGAGAAAAGGCAACAUUGAAAAGAUGGCUUGGGGUGAAUAACUUCACAGCCACCCACAGGAAGCUUGGGCAUCUGCCACAGCAGGAACCAAUCUCUCCUUCCUGUUGCAGUCUCCCGCAGGGAAUGAUCUUUAGGUGCUGGGACUUCUUAGGCUGCUCAGGCCUGAGCUGGGGUUUUGAAGACAGACUCUGGGCAUGGAGCAGACUCUUACAUCACCACAUUACCACAUCAUCACAUCACCACGUCAAGCUCAUCAUUUCAGUCCUAAACUGUGUCUUCCGUGCUCUGGUCUUUGGUGUCCACAGCUCUGUGCACUGUCCCUUACACUUUGCAGGAAGGAGGCAGGUUCCCUGAGGGGAGGAUGGGGGAGGAGGUGGGUUAGCCUAUGGGGAGGAGGAGGGGGAGGGAAAGGCGAGUUCCCACCUGUGGGCUAACACAUUAUCACUGCUCCCGGUAGGAUGGGCCAUGCCACACACAGCUCUUUGGCUCACUUGACGUUAUGAUCCAGAUAAAGCACGGAUGAACGUCUGGGAUCUUGUUCCAGAACUUUGUGUGUGGUUACCUAGUGGUGAAUGAGAACAGAAUGGAAAGGCGAGGGUGAGGAAGAAGUGGGUGAGAGGUGAAAAACUGAACCACUUGAGCUCUGCAGUGAUAGGAGCCGAGCAUCAUCUCCCUCACGCUCUAUGGCGUCCUGUCAGAGAGGCACUUCUGCUGCCACCACCUUUAACUGGGCAGUCAAGGGUCAAGGGUCAGGGGUCAAGGUUCAAGGAGUCAACAGCUUGUCAAAGUCCACAUAGCUCAAGAGAGCCAGAGCCAGGUUUCAACCGAGUGUGGUCUGACUUUUGAGCCUCUAUCAGUAUCUCUUCUAAGAACGACAGCAUCCACAAAAUUUAUGUAGAUGCCGAGAGACAUAAGAAAGGAUGUGUUUGUGCUGUGUUUGUAAUGCACGCAAGUGUCUUCCUGCUCGUGAACAUGUGUGUUUUCAUGUCUAUUCUUACAUGUUUAUUCAUAUGUUUGUAGGUUUCCAUAUAUGUACAAUAGUGCACCAUGUAAUUUACAAUGUCACUUUAAUUGAAAAAAUGAACUGUAACUCAAGAGAAGGAAGCUGUGCAUACAGUAGUGGUCACCCAUGUCUAUCCCACUCACUGCCAGCACGGUCAUCUUCUUUUGUAUAUAGUUGUUUGCACAAGGGUGACUUACUUAUAGCAAUCACCACAAUGUAUCCCCGGAUACAUUGUUAGGAACCUGUGCUUGGAGUGGUGAGUUAUUUAUCGUAAUGGCCACAAUGUAUUGUUAGGAACCUGUGCUUGGCAUUCAAACUACAUGAUACUUAAACAUGUGGUUUUUAUAAAGUGGCUCUAUGUCAUGCUGUGUCACUUCCUGACUGCCUGACUUGAGGUCCCAGAGCAGAAGUGGUGCCAGGCACUUCCUCCCAGCAGCCCAUGCACUACUGCAGGACACGUGACCCCUGGGUACUCUUUUCCAGGUUGGGAUUAUCUUAUUUUGAGAUAUGGUCAUUGAAGAAGUCACUUUAAGCAGGUUCUUGUACUUGGUUUCUUCUCUUCU